GGGCCGUUAGCUCAAUUGGUAGAGCAGCUGACUCUUAAUCAGCGGGUUGUAGGUUCGAGUCCUACACGGCCCACCA
rnacentral:tRNA from 1 species